AUUGAACGCUGGCGGCAGGCCUAACACAUGCAAGUCGAGCGAGUGGCGGACGGGUGAGUAAUGUAUGGGAAUCUGCCCGAUAGAGGGGGAUAACUACUCGAAAGGGUGGCUAAUACCGCAUACUAUCGGAUGAACCCAUAUGGGAUUAGCUAGUAGGUGGGGUAAAGGCUCACCUAGGCGACGAUCCCUAGCUGGUCUGAGAGGAUGACCAGCCACACUGGGACUGAGACACGGCCCAGACUCCUACGGGAGGCAGCAGUGGGGAAUAUUGCACAAUGGGCGCAAGCCUGAUGCAGCCAUGCCGCGUGUAUGAAGAAGGCCUUAGGGUUGUAAAGUACUUUCAGCGGGGAGGCGUUACCCGCAGAAGAAGCACCGGCUAACUCCGUGCCAGCAGCCGCGGUAAUUC
rnacentral:rRNA from 1 species